rnacentral:rRNA from 1 species
GGGUCAGUAGGUUGGUCGUGCCACCGGUACGUACUGGUCUCACUGAUUCCUCCUUCCUGAAGAACCGUAAUGCCAUUAAUUUGGUGUUGCGGGGAAACAGGACUGUUACUUUGAAAAAAUUAGAGUGUUUAAAGCAAGCUAACGCUUGAAUACAUUAGCAUGGAAUAAUGAAAUAGGACGAUCGAUCCUAUUUUGUUGGUUUCUCGGAUUGACGUA